GAUAGCUCUACGAUCUGACCUGCGGAGGGAUCAUUA
rnacentral:rRNA from 1 species